GAAGGGUAAAUCCUGAAAGUUCUCAUCAUAAGAAAAAAAUUUUUUUGUAAUUUUGUAUGAUGACAGAUGGUAACUAGACCUCCAGUGGUGAUCAUUUUGUAAUGUACACAAAUAUUGAAUCAUUAUGUUGUAUACCUGAAACUGCUACAAUGUCAACUAUACUCCAAUUAAAAAAAAAAAAAAAUUCAUAUGCACUAAGUAUCCCUGAGACUAGAGUAACUAAAGGAGAACAGAAUGUUUAAGUUCUAGCAUUCUGGAAUAGGAGCACGUUUGAAAAGAAAUCCAUGACACUAUUAUAGUUUAUUCUUCAUGACAUGCUUCAUAUGGAAUACCAGUAAGAACGGGAAGAGCUGGUGAGAAUUCUGUAAGUCAGUAAAAUAUUAUGUAGGGCUGAAGACUGGUUUAAAGUCAUGCCAUUAUUUUCCCUCUACCACAAGUCACAAGCCACUGAAGUUCGAUGCUCAAGACAGAUGAAAAUAUCUGAGUGCAAAGUCUUAGAAAAGGUGUUUUGCGGUUAAAAAAAAAAAAAAAAUCUCAGGG